GGUUCAUCAACCUUGGUACUUGAGGUCUGGCUAGGAAUGAAUUCAGAGUCAAGAUUCAAGCUAUAGGAGAAAAUCUAGAGAUAUAAAAGC